CAAAGGAAUUGACGGGGAGCACCACGAACGGGUGGAGCUUGCGGUUUAAUGGAUUCAACGCCGGAAUCUUACCGGGACCGACAGCAAUAUGAAGGCCAGGCUGAAGACUUUGCCGGAUUAGCUGAGAGGUGGUGCAUGGCCGUCGUCAGUUCGUACUGUGAAGCAUCCUGUUAAGUCAGGCAACGAGCGAGACCCACGCCCACAGUUGCCAGCGUACUCUCUGGAGUGACGGGUACACUGUGGGGACCGCCGCUGCUAAAGCGGAGGAAGGAAUGGGCAACGGUAGGUCAGUAUGCCCCGAAUAUCCCGGGCUACACGCGAGCUACAAUGGUUGGUACAAUGGGUAUCUACCCCGAAAGGGGACGGGAAUCUCCUAAACCCAUCCGUAGUUCGGAUUGUGGGCUGCAACUCGCCCACAUGAAGCUGGAAUCUGUAGUAAUCGUGUCUCAAAAUGGCACGGUGAAUAUGUCCCUGCUCCUU
rnacentral:rRNA from 1 species